rnacentral:rRNA from 1 species
AAUAUUGGACGAUGGGUGAGAGCCUGAUCCAGCCAUCCCGCGUGCAGGAAGAAUGNCUNNUGGGUNGNACACUGCUUUUAUACNNNNNUAAACCACUUUCCGUGUAAGGUGUUGAAGGUACUGUAUGAAUAAGCAUCGGCUAACUCCGUGCCAGCAGCCGCGGUAAUACGGAGGAUCCAAGCGUUAUCCGGAUUUAUUGGGUUUAAAGGGUGCGCAGGCGGAAGAUUAAGUCGGCGGUGAAAUUUUGCAGCUAAACGGUAAAAGUGCCAUCGAUACUGGUUUUCUUGAGUGUGGAUGAAGUAGGCGGAAUUUGUGGUGUAGCGGUGAAAUGCAUAGAUAUCACGAGGAACUCCGAUUGCGCAGGGAGCUUACUAGGCCAUAACUGACGCUCAGGCACGAAGGCGUGGGGAUCAAAC